GCUGACACAUCCCGGCCAAUCUCCAGCAGACCCUCCCUCCCAGACCCUCCCAUCUCUUGGGUAGCAUCCAUGUUGAAGCUGCCUUCAACAUGGAUGCUGUCCAGGAAGUAGGAGGGUUUGGGAGGGAGGGUCUGCUGGAGAUUGGCCGGGAUGUGUCAG
rnacentral:miRNA from 1 species